GAGGAUUAAGACUGCGUGGUGGAAGAGUACAGAGACACAACAGAGGAAGGGGUAUAAGAUGCCAAAGAUACACAGAGAUUCCAGAUGAAAUCAGGGCCACACUGGAGGAUCAUGUUAUCAAUCAUGGCCUUACAGUGGAAGAGGGUCGAAGGGUGCAGCCAAAUGUUGGGAGAACAACUGUGGCAUCAAUAAUUCAAUCAUUUUGUAGAGAGAACAGGACUGCAAGACAACCUCGCAGGGGUGGCAGAGGGCCCCUUUUCACACCUCAGCAGGAGGAAGCUAUUUGCAACAUGGUUAUGUCUAACAAUGCCAUAAGACUAAGGGAGAUACAAAGUGCUAAUUUUGAAGAUGACGGUAUCUUUGAAAAGAUACAAUCUGUGAGCAUUUCAUAUAGACAGGGUCUUGAAAAGACAUGUAAUCACCAUGAAGCAGCUGUACAAUGUACCCUUUUUUGUUUGUACAGCGCAUAAUGGAAAUGGAAUCAAGAGAACAACCUUACAACUUCAUAUACUUGGAUGAGGCUGGCUUCAACCUGGCCAAAGGCAGAAGGCAUGAUGGAAAUCUAAUCGGCCAGAGAGUUACUGUUGUUGUCCCAGGCCAACGUGGAGGAAACAUCACUGUGUGCUGCUAUUUCAGACCAAGGUGUGCUAGCUCAUAUUCCUAUUAUGGGACCGUAGAACACACAGCAUCUCCUUACAUUCUUAGACAAUCUCUAUAGAAAUGUCAUUCCUGAAGAUGAGAGGGACCUCAAUCGAGAUGAUCUACCAAAGUUUGUAGUAAUUUGUGACAAUGUCAGUUUUCAUCACUCUGACAACAUCAGGCAGUGGUUUGUCCACCACCGCAGGAUGCUGAUUGAAUUCCUUCCACCCUUCUCCCCGUUCCUGAACCCAAUUGAAGAGUUUUUCUCGGCUUGGACGUGGAAGGUUUAUGAUCAUCAGCCAUAUACGCAGAUGACACUGCUGGCUGCCAUGGAUGCAGCAUGUGAGGACAUCUCAGCAGAUGCAUGCAGAGGUUGGAUUAGGCACUCAAGAAGAUUCUUUCCACCGUGCAUAGCAAGGGAAAAUAUAUGUUGUGAUGUGGAUAAGAAUCUGUGGCCCAACACACAGGGCCGACAUGACGCAUAGGGAAACUGCCACGUAAUUUCACCUUUACCUUCUGUUGUACAUGUAUAGUUUUUCCCACUUUGUCUUUUUCAGGUUUCCAUUUGUGGGUAAAUAGCCUAUGUGUAGUUUUCUUUGUUUUCUGUAUGUAAGUACCACUAUUGACAGUACAGUGAAAAUGUGAAUACAGUCUGAUCUUUUGUUUCGAUUCUUCCAUAUACUGUUACGUGGGUCGAUGUUGAUUGGUUAGAUGGAAUCAAUCAGAAAAAUUAUCUAUUCAUACCAUGGAAGUUACUGUAACACCUGGUUGAUGCACAAUGGUUUGCAAGAGUAACUUCUUUUUUUACCGGAGGGACACUGUAAAUUAUGACACACACCAGUACGGUAAUUUAGUGGUUUCUAGUCAUCAAAACCUGACUUGAGUAUAAUUUAAAUAACUAAAACUGAGUAUGAUGUUCUACUGACAACAUGACUAAUAAUUUUGCCUGUCACGUUCACAUUGUUGAAAAAAUGACAUGGGAUUCUGCUGCCUCUGACACAAUGAUUGAUGAAAAAACAUGCUUUUGCACGAUAGACAAAGCAUUUUGAGCAGGUGACAUGUAUUUUCCGGUUAUCCACUAUGUUGUGCAGUUUGUACGUGUUGUUUUGAGAAAUGCACUUGGAGAGCUGCAAACUUCAAUUCUGAUCUGAGAAAUGACUGAAAUCAGUUGAGAAAAACUGUAAUAGAAAUCCAUCUAACAGGUAAAUAAAGCAUGAUUCCAUGUAUGUUACAAAGGAAAAUGAUGAUAAAAUUCAGUACAAAGCAAGAAAGGGGUUUUACAAGUCCAUCAUUUAUUGUACUUCAGGAUGAAGUACUGCUGAGGUAAUAGAUAUAGUAUUGAUGGCUGUAGAACCAUGAUAACAUGUAGUGCAAUAUGUAGUAGUACUUUCACUACAAGUUAACAAGCAAGAAUAGAGUACACAUUUUGCUACAUCAAGGUCAUUUGUUCAAGUCAUGUAACAAUCAUUAAUGAGAACAGGACCAGGGUAUGUUCCAGAAGAGUCCUAGUGCACUGGAAACACCUAGCAAUCUUUGUCUUCAGGGUCAAGGUUUGAGCUUGUGAGGGAACCAGAUGGACAAUAUAUAACAGCUCUAGAGAAGAAGCUUUUUCUUAAACUUGUGUGUAGUAAACUUGUGUGAGUGUGUAGUUGGAUUUGUAGUGUUUCCCCUACGAUAAGGGGAUAAAUAGGCAGUGUUCAGGGUGGGAUGGUCCUUUGUGAUGCUCAAGGCUUGCUCAUCUUUAAAAUAGCAGUUUAAUAACGCCUUUAGAAACACAACAACAGCAACACAGAGGCAUUACAUACAUAAUUAAAUGUUUUAGUAGGUCUACUUUUGGGAACCCAAGACAAGUCAAGUCAAGUCACUUUUAUUGUCACAUCACCACAGCACAUGUGCCUUGGUGAGUGAAAUUCUUAGGAGCGAACUCCAGAAAUUGCAGAACAAUUUUACAGAUAAUGAGUUGACAUGUGAAAAUGUGCAAUUUGCUCAUACGUAUAGUCAGUGCAAUAUGUGUGUACAAUAUGUACAAUUUGUUAAUAUGUACAAUUAACAAACAGAUAAUGAAAUCAACAUGUGAACAUGUGCAAUAUGCUCAUACAUAUAGUCAGUACACACAGUGUAGUAUUGACAUCCUUACAGUACAUUAUAUGCAAUAUGUACUUAUAUAUGUAUAUGUGUAAAUAUAUGUAAAUAUAUUAUAUAUAAAAUAUUAUAAGGUGCAACAGAUUGUACAGGUACAGAAGUGACAUGGAUCUGCAUCGGAUGUAUCUAGUGGUAACAGAUGGAUUAUUGUAUUAAAUGCAGUUGAAAGACACCACAUUACCUAUGAAUCUUUGUAAAUCAUAUAAAAUAUAUUUACUGGUAAAUAUAUACCAUAUAAAAUAUUUACCGGAGGAUU